GGAAUUAGCUCAGUUGGUAGAGCGGCGGCUUCCCAAGCCGCAGGUCACGAGUUCGAACCUCGCAAUCC
rnacentral:tRNA from 1 species